rnacentral:rRNA from 1 species
GAUGAACGCUGGCGGCGUGCUUAACACAUGCAAGUCGAACGGUGAAGGCGGAGGUUUCUCUGCUGGAUCAUUGGCGAACGGGUGAGUAACACGUGAGCAAUCUGCCCCUGACUCUGGGAUAAGCGCUGGAAACGGCGUCUAAUACUGGAUACGAUCUGCUAAGGCAUCUUCAGCAGCUGGAAAGAAUUUCGGUCAGGGAUGAGCUCGCUGCCUAUCAGCUUGUUUGUGAGGUAAUGGCUCACCAAGGCUUCGACGGGUAGCCCGCCUGAGAGGGUGACCGGCCACACUGGGACUGAGACACGGCGCAGACUCCUAUGGGAGGCAGCAGUGGGGAAUCUUGCACAAUGGGCGCAAGCCUGAUGCAGAAACGCCGCGUGAGGGACGACGGCCUUCGGGUUGUAAACCUCUUUUAGAAGGGAAGAAGCGAAAGUGACGGUACCUGAAGAAAAAGCGCCGGCUAACUACGUG